CUGAGUUAGGGUCUUUCUGGCCCGACCUCCAACCCUUUGUUUACUAUACCAUGUUGCUUUGGCGGGCCUGCCUUUUGGGGCUGCCGGGGGCAUUACUGCCCUUGACCUGUGCCUGCCAGGAGCCUUCUUUAAAUUCUGUGUUCAAUUGUGUUGUCUGAGUCCCACUAUCAAAAUAUCAAA
rnacentral:misc_RNA from 1 species